rnacentral:rRNA from 1 species
AGAGUUUGAUCAUGGCUCAGAUUGAACGCUGGCGGAAUGCUUUACACAUGCAAGUCGAACGGCAGCACGGGGGCAACCCUGGUGGCGAGUGGCGAACGGGUGAGUAAUACAUCGGAACGUGCCCAGUCGUGGGGGAUAACGUAGCGAAAGCUACGCUAAUACCGCAUACGAACUCUGGUUGAAAGCGGGGGAUCGCAAGACCUCGCGCGAUUGGAGCGGCCGAUGGCAGAUUAGGUAGUUGGUGGGGUAAAGGCCUACCAAGCCGACGAUCUGUAGCUGGUCUGAGAGGACGACCAGCCACACUGGGACUGAGACACGGCCCAGACUCCUACGGGAGGCAGCAGUGGGGAAUUUUGGACAAUGGGCGCAAGCCUGAUCCAGCCAUUCCGCGUGCAGGAUGAAGGCCCUCGGGUUGUAAACUGCUUUUGUACGGAACGAAAAGGCUCUGGUUAAUACCUGGGGCUCAUGACGGUACCGUAAGAAUAAGCACCGGCUAACUACGUGCCAGCCGCCGCGGUAAUUC